rnacentral:rRNA from 1 species
AUUGAACGCUGGCGGAAUGCUUUACACAUGCAAGUCGAACGGCAGCACGGACUUCGGUCUGGUGGCGAGUGGCGAACGGGUGAGUAAUGUAUCGGAACGUGCCCAGUCGUGGGGGAUAACGUAGUGAAAAUUACGCUAAUACCGCAUACGAUCUAUGGAUGAAAGCGGGGGAUCGCAAGACCUCGCGCGAUUGGAGCGGCCGAUAUCAGAUUAGGUAGUUGGUGGGGUAAAGGCCCACCAAGCCAACGAUCUGUAGCUGGUCUGAGAGGACGGCCAGCCACACUGGAACUGAGAGACGGUCCAGACUCCUACGGGAUGCAGCAGUGGGGAGUUUUGGACAAUGGGCGAAAGCCUGAUCCAGCCAGUCCGCGUGCAGGAUGAAGGCCCUCGGGUUGUAAACUGCUUUUGUACAGAACGAAAAGGUUUCUACUAGUACUAGGAGCUCAUGACGGUACUGUAAGAAUAAGCACCGGCUAACUACGUGCCAGCCGCCGCCGUAA